AUCCGACUGAUGAGUCCCGAAUAGGACGAAACGCAUGUUCAGGAU
rnacentral:hammerhead_ribozyme from 1 species